GAGCAUUAUGAAAGUAUAUCCAGCAUGCCUAGUGUUGAAGGUUUGAGUAUAACUGGAACUCAAUUUCAACCACUUUUGUCAACACAACUAUCUCAGGUUCACUCUGAUAUUGGUUAUUUUCAGACAAAUGAUCGGGAACGAUGUGGGCAACACUCAUAGGAGACUUCAACAAUUGGAACCCCCAUGCGAAUGUCAUGACCAAGGAUGAAUAUGGCGUUUGGGAGGUCUUUGUACCGAAUACUGCAGAUGGCUCUCCGCCUAUUCCACAUGGCUCACGGGUAAAGGAAUGCACGUCAACAAAAAGUGCAUCGCAGGUCGGAGGAGGGUUGCUCUUACGUCAAUUAUGCUUUUGUGGCGUUAUUAUCAGCUAGAAUUUGUAGCCACUUUAAAUGCUACUCGAGGGGGCAUUUCUUUA